UGUUCUUUCAAUAACAUGCUAUGAUAUCCAAGAAGCAUCUUUCACUGUCUCUCUCCUUCACUGCCUCCCAUCUCUGCACUUUCAGGUAAAUCUUACAGGUACCACUGAGUAGCAGCAGCACAACAUUGUUACUCAGACCCUGCAUGGGGAUCAGAAGAAUGGGGAGUCAGUUCCCUAACUCAUGAGGACAGGCCCAGGCCUCCUGAUCAAACUAAACCCAUCUGUUCCCAACUACUUCCUCAACAUCCCACCAAAGCUCAGGCUGCAGACAGGGCAUCCACAGUCUCCGUCGAGUUCCUAGCGGAUAGGUGUCUAUCACAUGGCUAUGGAGACAGAACUAUCUUAUUGCAGCAAGAAAUUCUACCAGGUCAAGUUUGAGGCAUGGCACUGAGACACACUACAUCUCAAACUCUGCAGGGACAUGAGUGGAAAAAUGGGACACAAGUCCCAGAAGAUGAGAGAGAAAUAGGUGAAAAUGUUUUGUUGAUAAACUACUUUUUCUCCUCUCCUUCCCCCUCCC